CUCCCCGUUCGGCCCGCGGGGACUGAGCGGAGGCCGUCCGCACGCAGGCCGGUCUGGUCCACUUGGGGGACGCACGGCCCGCGCCCCGCUCUGCGCUACGAAGAGGCCGGCCCAGGUGACCGCGCGCGUGUCCCCAGGCUCCGGCCGGGAGCCGCGGGCCGAAGGGAGGGCGGGGUGGCAGCGCCGGCGGCCCGGGUCCUCCUGGGAGUGGCGUGCGCGGCUCUCACCUCCACCUUCCCGGGUCCCCUCUGCCUCGCCGUGGAAGGCGCCCCGCGUGGCCUCGGGUCCGGUCGCCUGCCCCGCGCCGUCCCGCGUGUCCCUGCGGGACCCGGAUCCCGGGCGCCUUCCUCGCGGACUGCCAGGAGGGCCCAGAGACGUGUGUCGUAAAGCAUUCUAGAGAAUGACUGUCACCGGACAGACCGCCUCUGGCACGAAGCGAAGCCUUGCUGUCACUUGGGGAGGAAGGAGAAGGAGCCAGGCCGCUGGCAGGAGCGCAGGCAGCGGCAGAGGUAGCCCAGGUCCAGGGGAGCCCCUCCCAAACCCAGGUGUCGGGCUUCAGAAGAACCCAUCCUCCGUGGCCUGCAGGCUUCUGGCUCCUAGUAGGUGCCCGUUGCCUCCAGCCGCCACCAGUCUUCGGGCUCCUGCCUGCCCAGGGCUCCCCCCUUCCUAAAAUCCAGCCUCCUGGCUUCAACCUCCACAUCGCCGCUUCCCACACGCUGGGCCACUUGGAGGACCCAGCCCGGUGGUUCCCACCACGCUGCCGCCCCACGUGGGCCGUCCUAACUCAGUGUAGGGCAGACUUUACAGCAAUUAUUGAAGUGUCGAAAAGGAAAGAGAAAAUGGAGGGAGCAUACCAGCGUCGGGGUCUGGGAUGUUUUUGGUCUUCCAGAGAGGGGAUUCUGGGAGGUAGAGGCCUCGAAAGAGAGUCACCCAGGUGGGAUGACAAACGCAACAGCCAACGGAUCAGAUUGCAGGCUUCGGGGGUUCGCUUCCAAUUAGAUAGUUUAAGUGAAAAAAAAAUCAGGUCUAAUGUUGAUCACCAAGGAUGAUUGGCCUGCAAUGUUUCUAUUUCCACCAAAGGCCAGUUCCUGCUGUGUUUCAUUAGCAUUUGGGGCUCGUCCCCUGGCCCUCCCUCUCUCUCCCUCCACCCCCCUUGGGCCUGAUCUCUGCCAGGGGCAGAAAAGAAAACAGCGAAUUAUUACAAAAACAUCCCCAGUUUGGAGCAGGAGCGUAUGCUCCGGAUACAGUCGAUUUUGACAUCAAUUAAGUAUAUAAGCAGACAAGGCCACGUGGCUUUGGAGAGGCUCCCGCCGCCCAGGGCGCGUCUCCACCGCGGCUGUCUCCUCUUCGCCUCUUUCCCGCGAGCUGCUGAUUCUGAAGACAGCCUCUUCCUCCCGCGUAUUUCCCCCCGCAAUUACAACCCUCCGCUGGAUUCCAAAUUCUCCAUCCUGCUGCCUGCUACUAAUAAAAACCGUCUACCUUGCACUAUUAAGCAGUCGAAUCGCAGUGCCUGCCGCUUUUAUUGGUAGUGACUGUAGCAAAUUAACAUGCCUACGCAGAGACAUUAAAACUUACGCUCGCUCCGCAUUGUUCCUGGAAUACAUAAACUUCGUUUCACGUUAAAGCUCCCGGAUGUUUUUUUUUUUUUUAAGUCACUUUCCUUGUCUUGGAUUAAAGUUGGCUGGCCCUUCUUUUAAAACAAGUCAGUGGGAAAAACAGGCUGCAAGCGAGGAGGCCCGACGCGGUGGCUCGGCACGCGGCCGCCCGCGAGGGUGGCGAACUCCGUCCCCGGUGACCGCGGAGGGCGCAGGCCGCGCGGGGAGCGAGCCGCUGGCCCCGGGCCCCACUGGCCGCCCGUGCAGCAGGGCGGGGACCCGGGCGCUUUGGUGGCGGGCGAGGGUUGUCCGGGCGCCCGGCCGCGGCUGUUUUCGUGGCGUCCGAGCCGGAGCGGCGGACAGAGGCGAGGCCCGCGCGGCAGCCCCGGCCAGCUGCGGUGACAGCGCGAUGGCUCGUAACCGUCACGUAGGCGGCGCGCGGUUUCGGGCUCGGUUUCCCUCUCCUCCCCUCCGCGCGCUGAUGAAAAGAAGUUAACACCGUCGCAUUUCUGUGUCUUGUCCCCACAGCCGCCGGUGCCUUUAGAGCGAGUCGGCGUGGACACGCACGUUUCAAGGAGCCGGGGCGUCCUGCGAGGCCGAGCGCGGAGAAAGGCCUGGAGCCGGGCUUGCGCCCGAGGGUCUCUCGGAAGGAGCUGGCGGCGCCGGCCGGGCCGCCUUGCAGACUCGGUCGGCCCUGGGCUCUCGGGCGGGGCGCGGGGAGGCCGGGGAGCGGCGCGGGCCCGGGAGUCGUGCGCGCGGGCGGCGAGGGGGCGCUGUGGCCCGCGGCUGCGGCCUGGUCCCUGCAGCGGUGGCCCCGGCGCAGUCCCCGGCCACUGAACGGCGGUGGGCGCUCUCGCCCCGGCCCGGCCUACCUCUGCCCGCGUCGCUUUAACUUGGGGAAGAAGGAAAACUAGGCCGGGGCGUUUCGAUGAACCGAAGCCGCGCACGAACUUGUUUCACUCUGUCUCACUGCCGGGUAAUGGGCGCAGUUUGUAGGGUUGGUGGCAACACUUACAAAAUGGAACGUGUAAUGGGGGGGGGGUCGAUUAAGGUGAAGCGUACACAUUUGCCCCCAGGGCUGUGACUUUCGCCACAUCGGCGUGCGCGCGUCAGGGCACCUGCCCAGCGUGUUCCGAAUCCCGGGUCGCUGCUGGCCCACGACUUCCUGGGGCCCUGCAGCAAACGCAGCCAGAAGGAGUCGGGGGUCACGAAGUUCGGGUCUGCAACUUCCUUUGUUUCCGUCUCCCUCUGUUUCUCGCAAAGCAGCGCUGGCCGCCGUGAACUGCGCGAAGAGCAAGUCCCAACGAGACGCGAAUCUCUCUCCGGCGCGGGUACCUCCGGGCUCGUCUGACGGAGCUGCAGAUGCGGCGCUCUUCGGAGGUUCUCAAACACGGUUCCGGUGAGACCUGUUCCCGCAGAGCGAGCGCGCGGGGAACCCUGGCAGGCGGGGGUGGGGUGGGGAGUCCCCUCGCCCCUGGCCUGGAGCCGCCUGCGGCCUCGCGGGAGGAGACCCGAGGGCGCGGCCCCCAGAGGCCGGGGGCAGCCCGUGGCGUCGGGACCCCAGCACCGAGGGCACCUCUCUGGCUCCCCAGGCACCGGUGUUUGGUUACCGGUCGCUGACUCGAGCGUAGCGACGUCAGACCCCGGUCCCUUCGCGCGGGCAGCCGAGUGUGCGUCCUCCCCGCGGCGCCCGCCUCCGACGCGUCCCCCCUUCCGCGCGUCCGGCGGCCUCUGUCCCUGCCCGCCCCCCGCCUCCCCCCGUCCGCGUCCUCCCAGCUCCUCUGCCGCCGCUUCCCCCGCCUCCGGCGCGCAGCCCCCGGGCCCGAAUUCCAUUCCCGGAGACCCGCUUCGGGAGCGGCCCGCGUGGGUCAGCGAUCCGCGCGGGAGGCAGGUGGGCGAGCCCC